GAUGAACGCUGGCGGCGUGCUUAACACAUGCAAGUCGAACGAGGCAUUUGCGACAGAUUUUUUCGGAAUGAAGUUGCUUAUGACUGAGUGGCGGACGGGUGAGUAACGCGUGGGUAACCUGCCUUGUACUGGGGGAUAGCAGCUGGAAACGGCUGGUAAUACCGCAUAAGCGCACAAUGUUGCAUGACAUGGUGUGAAAAACUCCGGUGGUAUAAGAUGGACCCGCGUCUGAUUAGCUAGUUGGUGAGAUAACAGCCCACCAAGGCGACGAUCAGUAGCCGACCUGAGAGGGUGACCGGCCACAUUGGGACUGAGACACGGCCCAGACUCCUACGGGAGGCAGCAGUGGGGAAUAUUGCACAAUGGAGGAAACUCUGAUGCAGCGACGCCGCGUGAGUGAAGAAGUAAUUCGUUAUGUAAAGCUCUAUCAGCAGGGAAGAUAGUGACGGUACCUGACUAAGAAGCUCCGGCUAAAUACGU
rnacentral:rRNA from 1 species